UAGGGAAUCUUCGGCAAUGGGGGGAACCCUGACCGAGCAACGCCGCGUGAGUGAAGAAGGUUUUCGGAUCGUAAAGCUCUGUUGUUAAGGAAGAACGAGUGUGAGAAUGGAAAGUUCAUACUGUGACGGUACUUAACCAGAAAGGGACGGCUAACUACGUGCCAGCAGCCGCGGUAAUACGUAGGUCCCGAGCGUUGUCCGGAUUUAUUGGGCGUAAAGCGAGCGCAGGCGGUUAGAUAAGUCUGAAGUUAAAGGCAGUGGCUCAACCAUUGUAGGCUUUGGAAACUGUUUAACUUGAGUGCAGAAGGGGAGAGUGGAAUUCCAUGUGUAGCGGUGAAAUGCGUAGAUAUAUGGAGGAACACCGGUGGCGAAAGCGGCUCUCUGGUCUGUAACUGACGCUGAGGCUCGAAAGCGUGGGGGGCGAACAGG
rnacentral:rRNA from 1 species